AUUGAACGCUGGCGGCAGGCCUAACACAUGCAAGUCGAACGAGUGGCGGACGGGUGAGUAAUGUCUGGGAAACUGCCUGAUGGAGGGGGAUAACUACUGGAAACGGUAGCUAAUACCGCAUACCAUCGGAUGUGCCCAGAUGGGAUUAGCUAGUAGGUGGGGUAAAGGCUCACCUAGGCGACGAUCCCUAGCUGGUCUGAGAGGAUGACCAGCCACACCGGAAAUGGGAAACGGUCCAGACUCCUACGGGAGGCAGGAGUGGGGAAUAUUGCAAAAUGGGCGCAAGCCGUAUGCCGCCAUGCCGCGUGGAUGAAGAAGGCCUUCGGGUUGUAAAGUUCUUUCAGCGGGGAGGCGUUACCCGCAGAAGAAGCACCGGCUAACUCCGUGCCAGCAGCCGCGGUAAUUC
rnacentral:rRNA from 1 species